CGGAUACUUGCGGGGCUUGUAUGUGCCGCGCCUGCGCACAAUGUCCUACCUUCUCCCCAGCCGGCCGCUCGAGAACGCGCACGCAUGGCUGUUUUACAAGCUGGGGAGGCGUGUCCUGCAUGCUGGAGAUAGUGCCGGGGAGAGAGACUGUCUGCCUGCUACGCUGCUGUCCUGCAGAUUCUAGAGGAGGGAGGAGGGCCCUGGAAGAUCACGGUGGCAGAGGUCCCAUAUAUUGUGCAGCAAGAAAAAGAAACAGGGGCGGCACAGUAGCAAACACAGUCCAACUUGAAACAGCAGGGAGCAGUAUCUCGGCCGCUCGGAGCCUUCACACUGACGGCGGUGCUCAGCUGCUGCUAGCAGAAAGAUCGCUAUUCACCUAGGCCGAGAUGUCAGGACUAUUCAACGUUGUGUGUCCCAGUGGUUGAGAGAACAACUAUGAACUGUAAUGACAGCAAGCGAUGCACCGAGGAGAACCUGUACAUGGACGGAUCAUCUGAUUAGAAAAAUGGCGCGUCCAGUCCAUUCUGUACUGCAAGUGAAACUGAACGUCACAUCCCAAGCCUAGGGCGGCAAACUGAAAUCCUCAGACAACUAUUCAUAACCUCAUUGAUAGUGUGGGUAUUCUGUAUGUGGCACUCAUACUUGAUACUGAACUUGAGAUGUUUUGAAUAUUUUGUUUCCAUUUAUUUAUAAUUUGCAUAUCCGUAACAUGUCUAUUGAUCCCGUGAUUUUGAUAAUUCCAUAACCUUUCCUUCUUGGAUAUUUUAUUUACCACUUAAAGGGGUUAUGCCAUGAUUGAUGUAAAAAACUAAAACCAGACAUCAUAUACUACAUGACAACCUCGUUCUAAGGCCUCUUUCACACUUGCGUUCUCCG